rnacentral:rRNA from 1 species
CCUACGGGCGGCAGCAGUGGGGAAUAUUGGACAAUGGGCGAAAGCCUGAUCCAGCCAUGCCGCGUGUGUGAAGAAGGCCUUCGGGUUGUAAAGCACUUUCAGUGGGGAAGAAAGCCUUGGGGCUAAUACCCUCGAGGAAGGACAUCACCCACAGAAGAAGCUCCGGCUAACUCCGUGCCAGCAGCCGCGGUAAUACGGAGGGUGCGAGCGUUAAUCGGAAUUACUGGGCGUAAAGCGCGCGUAGGCGGUCUGAUAAGCCGGUUGUGAAAGCCCCGGGCUCAACCUGGGAACGGCAUCCGGAACUGUCAGGCUAGAGUGCAGGAGAGGAAGGUAGAAUUCCCGGUGUAACGGUGAAAUGCGUAGAGAUCGGGAGGAAUACCAGUGGCGAAGGCGGCCUUCUGGACUGACACUGACGCUGAGGUGCGAAAGCGUGGGUAGCAAACAGGAUUAGAUACCCGAGUAGUC